UACGGAGGGUGCAAGCGUUAUCCGGAUUUAUUGGGUUUAAAGGGUCCGCAGGCGGAUCUGUAAGUCAGUGGUGAAAGCCUUCAGCUUAACUGGAGAAUUGCCAUUGAUACUGCUGAUCUUGAGUUCGGUUGAAGUGGGCGGAAUAUGUAGUGUAGCGGUGAAAUGCAUAGAUAUUACAUAGAACACCUAUUGCGAAGGCAGCUCACUAAGCCGAUACUGACGCUCAGGGACGAAAGCGUGGGGAGCGAACAGG
rnacentral:rRNA from 1 species